rnacentral:rRNA from 1 species
UACGUAGGGGGCAAGCGUUGUCCGGAUUUACUGGGCGUAAAGGGCGUGCAGGCGGUUUGUUAAGUCUAGGGUGAAAGCUCCCGGCUCAACUGGGAGAGGUCCUUGGAUACUGGCAGACUUGAGGAGGGUAGAGGAGAGUGGAAUUCCCGGUGUAGUGGUGAUAUGCGUAGAUAUCGGGAGGAACACCAGUGGCGAAGGCGGCUCUCUGGGCCCUACCUGACGCUGAGACGCGAAAGCGUGGGGAGCGAACCGG